rnacentral:rRNA from 1 species
GUUGAGGAAGAUAAUGACGGUACUCAACAAGGAAGUGACGGCUAACUACGUGCCAGCAGCCGCGGUAAAACGUAGGUCACAAGCGUUGUCCGGAAUUACUGGGUGUAAAGGGAGCGCAGGCGGGAAGACAAGUUGGAAGUGAAAUCCAUGGGCUCAACCCAUGAACUGCUUUCAAAACUGUUUUUCUUGAGUAGUGCAGAGGUAGGCGGAAUUCCCGGUGUAGCGGUGGAAUGCGUAGAUAUCGGGAGGAACACCAGUGGCGAAGGCGGCCUACUGGGCACCAACUGACGCUGAGGCUCGAAAGUGUGGGUAGCAAACAGGAUUAGAUACCCUGGUAGUCCACACUGUAAACGAUGAUUACUAGGUGUUGGAGGAUUGACCCCUUCAGUGCCGCAGUUAACACAAUAAGUAAUCCACCUGGGGAGUACGACCGCAAGGUUGAAACUCAAAGGAAUUGACGGGGGCCCGCACAAGCAGUGGAGUAUGUGGUUUAAUUCGACGCAACGCGAAGAACCUUACCAAGUCUUGACAUCCUGCGACGGUGCUGGAAACAGAACUUUCCUUCGGGACGCAGAGACAGGUGGUGCAUGGUUGUCGUCAGCUCGUGUCGUGAGAUGUUGGGUUAAGUCCCGCAACGAGCGCAACCCUUAUGGUCAGUUACUACGCAAGAGGACUCUGGCCAGACUGCCGUUGACAAA